CUCUGACAUGUUCAUCCGCCCGCUUUGGGACUCCAUCGUCAAGCACACCAACCUGAAGAUCUCCCGGUGCAUCUCUAGAACAACAAAAGAUGCAAAAGGCUGGGAGGGCUGAAGAGACCAAGAGACCAAGAGAGCUCCAUUUGAUUAGUACCACAAAAAUAAUUGGGCCCAUUGGAAUAUGUUUGGAUUUUUCCAUGGAAUUUAAGAGCACUUUUAAAUGCAAAAAUGACUCUGUUUU